GUGCGGGCCUCUGCAGUCCCUUGGCGCCGGCUCUAGCCAAUCCCGCGGGGCCGCCAGACAAAGGGAAAGGAGGAAGAGCCGCGGUGGUUGCCCCCUCCUCCUGCUCUCUCCUACGCGUAGGCCUUGCUCUCUCUUGAGGGAACAGCCCUUCCUGUGACCACCGACCGUGGAAUGAAGAGUGGGAAUGAAGCAGAGUUCAGAUCCCAGUGAAGAGCCAGUAUUAAAUGGCAGAUGCACCUGACAAAUGCUUAGUGCCUGAAAUAUUGUGAGAGCUCUGUGUGUUCCAGCAGAUAACAGCAACAACUAUAAUAAACAAGUUUGUGUAA